rnacentral:lncRNA from 1 species
GCUUUUCGUUGGUUGGAUGUUUGCAGAAUUUCAAAUAUGGAGAAUUUCUGGGCCCUGUCUGGUCGGAAAAGAAACAGGUAUUAAAUUCAGAACCAAUGCAUCGCUUUUGCAUGCUUAACACAAGAAAAAGGUUGUUGCACAAUCUAAUGAAGUAUCAACAAUGGCCAGCUUUCCAGAAAAAAAAAUAGAAACAAAGUAUGACAAUAGAAAUAAAAUAUGACAACACAAGGAAAC